rnacentral:rRNA from 1 species
CCUACGGGCGGCAGCAGUGAGGAAUAUUGGUCAAUGGACGAGAGUCUGAACCAGCCAAGUAGCGUGAAGGAUGACUGCCCUAUGGGUUGUAAACUUCUUUUAUAUGGGAAUAAAAUGUUCCACGUGUGGGAUUUUGUAUGUACCAUAUGAAUAAGGAUCGGCUAACUCCGUGCCAGCAGCCGCGGUAAUACGGAGGAUCCGAGCGUUAUCCGGAUUUAUUGGGUUUAAAGGGAGCGUAGGUGGACUGUUAAGUCAGUUGUGAAAGUUUGCGGCUCAACCGUAAAAUUGCAGUUGAAACUGGCAGUCUUGAGUACAGUAGAGGUGGGCGGAAUUCGUGGUGUAGCGGUGAAAUGCUUAGAUAUCACGAAGAACUCCGAUUGCGAAGGCAGUUCACUGGACUGCAACUGACACUGAGGCUCGAAAGUGUGGGUAUCAAACAGGAUUAGAUACCCGUGUAGUC